CCUAAAAGUAUUUUUUUCAUUCACGCCUCUCUCUUCUCCAAAAUUAGCCGCCGCCUCUCCUUUCUCCAUGAACUGGUGAAACGCCGCAAAGGCGGAGAUGUCUAUCUUCCUCCGUCCCUCUCUUCCUCCCCUCUCUUCUCUUCUAUCCUCCCUUCUCUCUUUCUCUUCUCCGUCCAGCAGCAGCUAGGUGAGAAACCAGCAGCAAUCGCUGCGCCAUCCAGCAAGGACUCCUCAAGUCAGCAGCUCGAAAAUCAGCAGACCAGCAACAAACAACAGUUCCGGCAUAUUCUCUCCCUCUCAUCUCCCUCAACCUCUCGUUCCUUUGUCCCUUCCUCGUCUUUUUUCCUUUUCCUCUCCUCUCUUUGCAGGAUCAGCAGCAGCUCAGCAUGUAGCAUCAACUCCACGCAGCAGCAGAAACGCGAGGCAACAGCAGUCGCGAGCUCCGACCGGUGAGUUGUUCUCUUCUCCGACGAGAAUCUUGUUGGCGAAGGCGACAACUCCGAUGGGGCCGACGAAGGCAACUGUUACUGCUCAUACCGUAAAUGGAAUGCAAAGCUUCGAUAAGACGGAUCUUUACAGAUCCGUUCGGGUAAAUAUCUCCUAAAAUAUCAUUUCACCUAUAUAUAGAUAUAUGAAAUUUAUUCAUCUUUUCUUGAUCUCAAAACUGAGCCAUCAUUUAUUAUCUUAAUCUUGUCUUCUACAAUUUUCUGAUUGUUAGACUUAGUAUGCUACUGAAUCAUUAUCCAUUUUGACUUGGAAUGACAACUCAUCCCCAGUUUAACAGGUUUUGAACUCAAAGGUUCAAGAUGUUGAAGAGUUGCUAUGGAUUGUGGAAGUGUUAGACGAGCUCACGUUUAUUUAAUUUGUGUUUUGUAUAUUAUUUAAUCUCUAUUAUUAUUUUAUAAUAAUUUAUAAACGCUAAACUCUAUAUAUAUGAAAUGAAUUUGGGGGAAUCGCCCAAGGAGAGGGGGAAUUACGUGCUACCUUUUAUAUUA